AUGGCUAGCUUCGGCGUCGACACGCGUCCCGCCGCGGCGGGGGAGGGAGCGCUCUCCUUCCUCUCCCGGAGCCUGCGGGAGGACCUGCGCCUCAUCCGCGCGCGGGCCGGGGAGCUUGAGACCUUCCUCAGCGCGCCGGUCCCGGAGCCCGACCUCUUCGCGCGCCUCCGCAAGGCCUACAACACCACCUCCUCCUCCGCCUCCGCCUCGGGGAUCGGGAGGACGCGCCUGGACCUGUCGGCGAUAGGGAAGGCGUUCGAGGCUGAGGUCGGGAGGGGGUGGGGGGCCAAGACCGGGUGGAGGUGGGAGGACGAGGACGCCGCGGAGUGGGAGCCCAUACGGGCCGUCAAGGCGCGCCUCAGGGACCUCGACCGCAAGCGCCAGGACCAGGCCAGCGACGUGCUCCACAAGGUCAAGCUCAGCCUGGUCAAGUUCAUCUAA
rnacentral:rRNA from 1 species